AGCGAACGCUGGCGGCAGGCCUAACACAUGCAAGUCGAACGGAUCCUUCGGGAUUAGUGGCGGACGGGUGAGUAACACGUGGGAACGUGCCCUUUGGUUCGGAACAACUCAGGGAAACUUGAGCUAAUACCGGAUGUGCCCUUCGGGGGAAAGAUUUAUCGCCAUUGGAGCGGCCCGCGUCUGAUUAGCUAGUUGGUGAGGUAAAGGCUCACCAAGGCGACGAUCAGUAGCUGGUCUGAGAGGAUGAUCAGCCACAUUGGGACUGAGGCACGGCCCAAACUCCUACGGGAGGCAGCAGUGGGGAAUCUUGCGCAAUGGGCGAAAGCCUGACGCGGCCAUGCCGCGUGAAUGAUGAAGGUCUUAGGAUUGUAAAAUUCUUUCACCGGGGACGAUAAUGACGGUACCCGGAGAAGAAGCCCCGGCUAACUUCGUGCCAGCCGCCGCAGUAA
rnacentral:rRNA from 1 species